rnacentral:lncRNA from 1 species
CGACCACUGCUGAGAGGCGGGCUCCCCCUGUGCCGGCUGGUCCUGUGGCUGAGGAGAUGUCAUGUGGAUGUCCCCGCACGGCCCACUCCUCCUGGACCCACGGGUCACUCUGGUGGCUUCUUGGUAGGACAGAAAAGAGACGUGACAAGUGGUAUUGGGGCCAAGUCGGAAAGGCAGCACGCUGACUGCUCAGAGCUGUUGUUGCACAAUAAUGCUCUGGGCUCAUUCAUUAGGCAGAAGCUCGUGGGGAUGGGCUCUGGGCAGCGCUGGCCUGAAACGCGGAAGCCAUUUGCGGACUAAAAGUUUAAGCCUGGAAUGCCAGCUCCCAUUUACGUUCCCCCUCGAGGUCAGGGAGCCACAGGAAAGCGCAAAGGCUGAGGGAGGAGAGGCCCCCCGGAUGGGUCCCGCAUGCCUUUUCUGCCCUGACCUGGAAAAUUCACCUGGAAAACCCACGAGGCUCCCAGGGCAGAUGGCCUCACGUGACCCAGAUGUCAAGCCAUCGCGAUUCCUAGAGGGAGCUUGGCAGGCUUUCUCGUGGGGACCAGCAGGAAUCUAGGCGGAUUUAAACAGAAACCCGACUUCCUGGGCUUUAACAGAUUUAAACAGAAACCCGACUUCCUGGGCUUUUGCGUUCAUUAAACUUGGGGCAAAUGUAACUUUUUGUCUCUGAGAGUUUAAAACAAAACAAAACAAAAACAAUCUUCACUGACCCCUAAAAAAGGCUCAAAAAACUUUGGAAAGUUCGAAGAAGGACUCAAAUCCCUCUUUCGAU